AUAAUGUUUUAUUAAUUUGUCCUUUUUGGCUGCUGCCAAGACAGCAUAUAUGGAACUGAUUUUUGAACCUCAAGAAACUGACAUUUUGAAUUCUGCUUUGUAUCAUAAGCCUCAAAUGCAAGAAGCUGUGAUUAGAAUGUGAUAAUAGCCGAGGUGCCAUAAUUCUCUGCUGUUGUAUGAGGUUUGUGCAGCUAAAAUAUCUGACUCCUAAAAUGGAGUUUCCUGAAAUUAUUCCUUACUCAUAGUGUAAUGAGGUGUACGUGUUGGAUCUAUUAUAACUUUCUUUCACUCCAUCUCUCAGAAUAGAUGAUCAUCCUCAUCUUUGCAUCAUAUUCCAAUUAGAAAGGGAUGAUACAACAAGAAAGCUCUCGUAAGAUGUCAGCUGCUUGAUUUUGGACUUCGCAAACUCUAGAACUUUUCUCUUGCUUGCUCCUGCCAUGUAAGAAGUGCCUUUCG
rnacentral:lncRNA from 1 species